rnacentral:rRNA from 1 species
GGCCAGACUCCUACGGGAGGCAGCAGUGGGGAAUAUUGCACAAUGGGGGAAACCCUGAUGCAGCGACGCCGCGUGAGCGAAGAAGUAUUUCGGUAUGUAAAGCUCUAUCAGCAGGGAAGAAAUUGACGGUACCUGAGUAAGAAGCUCCGGCUAAAUACGUGCCAGCAGCCGCGGUAAUACGUAGGGGGCAAGCGUUAUCCGGAUUUACUGGGUGUAAAGGGGGCGCAGACGGCAGCGCAAGCCAGGAGUGAAAGCCCGGGGCCCAACCCCGGGACUGCUCUUGGAACUGCGCGGCUGGAGUGCAGGAGGGGCAGGCGGAAUUCCUGGUGUAGCGGUGAAAUGCGUAGAUAUCAGGAGGAACACCGGUGGCGAAGGCGGCCUGCUGGACUGCGACUGACGUUGAGGCCCGAAAGCGUGGGGAGCAAACAGGAUUAGAUACCCCCGUAAAA